CCAUUUUUAUAUUAUUUUUCUCUCUUCCUCUCACGUUGCUCGGCGUUUUCUCGCAAGGGGGGAUUAUUUUCUUUUUUCUUCAGAUUAUAUUGACAAAGAUAGUGGUGAAAAAGGAGUUGUGAAGGGGAACUUGUUAUUCAAGACACAAGGAGCGAGUCCGGCCGAGAAAGCACCAGAGGUGUAACUAUGGUGUAUGAAACACCAUCUUUUACGUUGCCUCUUAUUUUGGAUUAUACAAUGUAUCUUGUGCCAACUUAGGACAUAUCUUCUUUGUGAAGCAUGUAAACUCUAAUCCUUUUUAUUAAAAGUAUUUAUUUGACCAA